CUGAUGAUCACCGGAUCCUAAACUUUCACCUACAGUAAUAUCUGACACCAAAUCUCCAUUUUUUUAACACUAAAUCUAGUAUGGCCUCCUUACGAGUUGGCUCCUCAACGACUUGUUUUAAAGACAAUCCCAGUAGGGAGUUUAGAAUAUGUGUGCUCCUGGCACAAGCAGCUAUUUUUGUUUUCCAAUUCACAUCAGGUAGAUUAAAGUCACCCAUGAUGAUAACUUCCCCCUUUAUUGUCAUUUUAGCUAUUUCCUCAACUAGUAGAUUAUCUAACUCUUCUAUUUGUCCUGGGGGCCUAUAAAUCCCACCUACACGAGUUACUUUGUGAUUAUCAAAUUCUAACGUAACCCAAACGGACUCAAUGUUCG